rnacentral:rRNA from 1 species
UGGGGAAUCUUGGACAAUGGGGGCAACCCUGAUCCAGCCAUGCCGCGUGGGUGAAGAAGGCCUUAGGGUUGUAAAGCCCUUUCAGUCGUGACGAUGAUGACGGUAGCGACAGAAGAAGCCCCGGCUAACUCCGUGCCAGCAGCCGCGGUAAUACGGAGGGGGCAAGCGUUGUUCGGAUUUACUGGGCGUAAAGCGCGCGUAGGCGGCCGUGUAAGUUGGGGGUGAAAUCCCGGAGCUCAACUCCGGAACUGCCUCCAAAACUACACAGCUAGAGGAUGCGAGAGGAUAGUGGAAUUCCGAGUGUAGAGGUGAAAUUCGUAGAUAUUCGGAAGAACACCAGUGGCGAAGGCGACUGUCUGGCGCAUUUCUGACGCUGAGGCGCGAAAGCGUGGGGAGCAAACAGGAUUAGAUACCCCCGUAGUCC